rnacentral:rRNA from 1 species
GCAAUAUUUUAAUUGUACAAAGGUAGCAUAAUCAUUUGUCUUUUAAUUAAAGAAUAGAAUGAAAGAUUAAAUAAAAUAUUAACUAUAUAAAUUUAAUUAAAAUUUUAAUUUUAUUUUUAAGUAAAAAAUCUUAAAUAUUAUUAUUAGACGAUAAGACCCUAUAGAACUUUAUAUUAUAUAAAUUUAAAUAAAAUUUUAUUAUUUAAAUUAAUAAUUAUAUUAUAUUAUAUUGGGGGUAUAAAAAAAUUAAAAUAAUUUUUUUAUAUAAUUUUACAUUAAUUUAUGAAAUAAAUAAAAGAGUGUUUAAAUAAAAAUUAUUAAAAUAAGUUACCUUAGGGAUAACAGCAUAAUUUUUUUAAAAAGUUCUUAUUGAUAAAAAAGAUUAUGACCUCGAUGUUGAAUUAAG